rnacentral:lncRNA from 12 species
GUUAAAAAGACUUUUGUAGAUUUUAACAAAGUUAAUAAUUUAACUAUGUGAUCUUAUUUCAUCCUAGUUUUUUUUUUUAUUUUUAUUUUUUAUGUUAACCGUCUAAUUUAUUUGGUCUGCUCAGUGGCCCACAGUGGGCCUCAUCCUAGUUUUUUAAAGUAUAAACAAAUGCAGCAAUAUCUUACAUUAUUUAACUAGUAAGUACUUUCUAUCUUAUUUGUAUAUAUUGCUAUACCUUCAGUCAUACCUUAAUAUCUGAUAAAGAAAGCUUAGUCUGUGAGGGACAUUUGUGUCCUGGAACAAAAUUUAAAGCACUAAAUCAUUUUGUGUGUCUACAAUGGACAAAUGAUAGUGUAUCUCUGUCUCUAUAGAUUUUAAUUGUUAUAUCAACCAGAUCUCAAAACUAUGAGAAAGUUUUGACAAAAUAUUGGCCUAGAAUGAAUUAUAAUUUAUGCUGAAAGAUUUUAAGUCCAUUCUAUUUUGCAUCGAAGUGCAAGAGUGAGUAAAUUAUGUAUGAUGACUUCUCCUCACUUAAAACCACUUGUAAAAGAAGAAUAUGUUUGUUUACAUCUCACUAAUAUGCCAAUGUUUAGGUAGUUAUGUUUACUCCUGUUUGCCACAGGUAAACUGGAUAGAACAUCAGACAGCUCAUUAUAGAGACAAGUAUGCUCCAUUCCCAAAGUUGGAUGACAGAACAAGUCAUGACCUUCUGUGGAGGAAAAUGAGAUCCCGAGUGAAGUCUACAAUGUCAUUGACUCUGAAGAAGGACUCAGAGACCCAUUGGUGUUUAAUGACCCUUACUGGCCUAUGCAAUGGGAACUGA